CAUUUAAAGAAAGCGUAAUAGCUCACUGGUCGAGUCGGCCUGCGCGGAAGAUGUAACGGGGCUAAACCAUGCACCGAAGCUGCGGCAGCGAACGUAUCACUUAAAGCGAUUCAGCGGGUUACGAUUGACGGAGCGAAGCGACGUCAAAGCGUAUACAAAGUCGAGUCGGUUUAAGGAUACGUUCGUUGGGUAGGGGAGCGUUCUGUAAGCCUGCGAAGGUGGCCUGUGAGGGUUGCUGGAGGUAUCAGAAGUGCGAAUGCUGACAUAAGUAACGAUAAAGCGGGUGAAAAGCCCGCUCGCCGGAAGACCAAGGGUUCCUGUCCAACGUUAAUCGGGGCAGGGUGAGUCGACCCCUAAGGCGAGGCCGAAAGGCGUAGUCGAUGGGAAACGGGUUAAUAUUCCCGUACUUGGUGUUACUGCGAAGGGGGGACGGAGAAGGCUAUGUUGGCCGGGCGACGGUUGUCCCGGUUUAAGCGUGUAGGUGUGUGUUCCAGGUAAAUCCGGUUCACUUUAACACUGAGGCGUGAUGACGAGGCACUACGGUGCUGAAGCAACAAAUGCCCUGCUUCCAGGAAAAGCCUCUAAGCAUCAGGUAACAUCAAAUCGUACCCCAAACCGA
rnacentral:rRNA from 1 species